rnacentral:rRNA from 1 species
GAUGAACGCUAGCGGCAGGCCUAAUACAUGCAAGUCGAACGGAUAUAUGUUUUUCGGAAUAUAUAUUAGUGGCGCACGGGUGAGUAACACGUACAUAACUUGCCCUCAAGCGGGGGAUAGCCUUGGGAAACUGAGAGUAAUACCCCAUAGAAUUAUUGGACGGCAUCGUUUGAUAAUUAAAACUACGGUGUUUGGGGAUAGAUGUGCGUCUGAUUAGCUAGUUGGUGAGGUAACUGCUCACCAAGGCGACGAUCAGUAGGGGGCGUGAGAGCGUGGCCCCCCCACACGGGUACUGAGACACGGACCCGACUCCUACGGGAGGCAGCAGUAAGGAAUAUUGGUCAAUGGAGGGAACUCUGAACCAGCCAUGCCGCGUGAAGGAUGACGGCCCUCUGGGUUGUAAACUUCUUUUGGAUGGGGCGAAAAAACGGGAUUUAUCCUGGACUGACGGUACCAUCAGAAUAAGCACCGGCUAACUCCGUGCCAGCAGCCGCCGGUAAAGUAGUCGUGU